UGCACCUACAGUUUGAGAUGCUCUAAAUCAAUAAACAGGACUGGAAUGUGCACACCGGUUUUGAGGGGUGCACAAAUUUGGACUCUCCUUUGGUUUACAAAUCGAAACAUGAAAAAGAAAAGGAAAAAACAAGAAAUCAGUGAGAGUUUGAGCUUGGAAAUCCAUCAAACGUUGAUGGUGAUCAGACUCCCUAGUUUUACUUUGACGUGAAUUAAGCGAAACAAACAUAUUUUGAGCCCUUGUUUGAUUAGCAAGAUUGGGUUGUCGGAGAAAUUGACAUCCUGCGGGGGAGGAGCUAUGUGAGAACCUGAAUCAAACAACGGAGAAACAUUUCUGCAAGCGCGACACUGCACAUUUACUGUUUGUCGAAAAUCCUGAAAGAAAAGAAAAAAAGGGUACAAUCUCUCAUGACUUUCUUUAAUUAUUUCAGUAAUGAUAUGGGUGGCUACAGAAAUAGAAUUGCUAAGUUUCCCAUGAACUACUAGUAAACUUGCUGAUUUUGUACCUAAAUUGAUCUUAUAAUUUAGCUUUGUUUUGUGUACUUCGAUAUUCAUUUUACUACCUGGUGUCGAGAAAUAAUGUAGGGCCUAGAGACUUGGAGUGUUGUUCGUUUCGUACAUUGUGAUUACUUAUUUAGUAAAUUGCUAACUUCAUUGCUUGAGACUGUAAGAUGAUUUAUCGAACUCUAAUGCUCGCUAAAAGAUUGUUACGCUCCUACUAAUUAUGUAUGUGAAUUGAAUGAAGACUCGAUGUACUAGACAAAAUGAAAAUAAAACUAGUUCUGUUAGG